rnacentral:lncRNA from 10 species
AUUUACCUACAUAUACUAGACAUAGAUGUACCUUUACAUAUAUUUGCAUGUAAACACACAUAUAUGCACACUUUCACUGCAUACACACCUGCCAGUCCUUCUGGUGCAUCCUAAUGAAACCUGAUUUUCUCCUGCUAAUGACAUUAGCACCUGGCUGCUAAUGACAUUUCUUAAUCAACUACCUCAACCUGCUAACACUGAAAUAAUUAGAAAUUUUUGUCUAGCUGCAAGAUUUUCAUUUAGAGAUAAUCUGCAUAAAAAAUACACAUUCGUGUGUACGGAUAUUAUAUAAAUGUAUUUAUAUUAUGCUUCAUUCUAG